rnacentral:rRNA from 1 species
CCGAAUUCGUCGACAACAGAGUUUGAUCCUGGCUCAGGAUGAACGCUGGCGGCGUGCCUAAUACAUGCAAGUUGAGCGAAUGGAUUAAGAGCUUGCUCUUAUGAAGUUAGCGGCGGACGGGUGAGUAACACGUGGGUAACCUGCCCAUAAGACUGGGAUAACUCCGGGAAACCGGGGCUAAUACCGGAUAACAUUUUGAACUGCAUGGUUCGAAAUUGAAAGGUGGCUUCGGCUGUCACUUAUGGAUGGACCCGCGUCGCAUUAGCUAGUUGGUGAGGUAACGGCUCACCAAGGCAACGAUGCGUAGCCGACCUGAGAGGGUGAUCGGCCACACUGGGACUGAGACACGGCCCAGACUCCUACGGGAGGCAGCAGUAGGGAAUCUUCCGCAAUGGACGAAAGUCUGACGGAGCAACGCCGCGUGAGUGAUGAAGGCUUUCGGGUCGUAAAACUCUGUUGUUAGGGAAGAACAAGUGCUAGUUGAAUAAGCUGGCACCUUGACGGUACCUAACCAGAAAGCCACGGCUAACUACGUGCCAGCAGCCGCGGUAAUACGUAGGUGGCAAGCGUUAUCCGGAAUUAUUGGGCGUAAAGCGCGCGCAGGUGGUUUCUUAAGUCUGAUGUGAAAGCCCACGGUCAACCGUGGAGGGUCAUUGGAAACUGGGAGACUUGA